rnacentral:tRNA from 1 species
GGCGCGGUAGCAAAGUGGUUAUGCAGCUGACUGCAACUCAGUCUACGCCGGUUCGAUUCCGACCCGCGCCUCCA